AGAGUUUGAUCAUGGCUCAGAUUGAACGCUGGCGGCAGGCCUAACACAUGCAAGUCGAACGGUAACAGGAAGCACCUUGCUGCUUCGCUGACGAGUGGCGGACGGGUGAGUAAUGUCUGGGAAACUGCCCGAUGGAGGGGGAUAACUACUGGAAACAGGUGCUAAUACCGCAUAGGUCAUCAUUCCACAUGGAAAGAUGACAAAAGACGCUACGGUGUCGCUGUUGGAUGGGCCCGCGCUGCAUUAGUUAGUUGGUGAGGUAACGGCUCACCAAGACCAUGAUGCAUAGCCGACCUGAGAGGGUGAUCGGCCACACUGGGACUGAGACACGGUCCAGACUCCUACGGGAGGCAGCAGUGGGGAAUAUUGCACAAUGGGCGCAAGCCUGAUGCAGCCAUGCCGCGUGUAUGAAGAAGGCCUUCGGGUUGUAAAGUACUUUCAGCGGGGAGGAAGGCGAUAAGGUUAAUAACCUUGUCGAUUGACGUUACCCGCAGAAGAAGCACCGGCUAACUCCGUGCCAGCAGCCGCGGUAAUAC
rnacentral:rRNA from 1 species